ncrna:unclassified sequences drum RNA
AAGCGAUGAUACCAAGGGGCGUGCCAAGAGCGUUGCUUGGUUGAGCUUUCAGGAGGGGUUGCACAGUGAAACCUCAACUUGGCUUAGGCGUUUGCCGAAAGAAAAUGUGAAUG